rnacentral:rRNA from 1 species
CCAGACUCCUACGGGAGGCAGCAGUGGGGAAUAUUGCACAAUGGGGGAAACCCUGAUGCAGCAACGCCGCGUGGGUGAAGGAGCGUUUCGGCGCGUAAAGCCCUGUCAGCGGGGAAGAAGAAAGACGGUACCCGACCAAGAAGCCCCGGCUAACUACGUGCCAGCAGCCGCGGUAAUACGUAUGGGGCAAGCGUUAUCCGGAUUUACUGGGUGUAAAGGGCGAGUAGGCGGGAUUGCAAGUCAGAUGUGAAAACUAUGGGCUCAACCGAUAGAGUGCAUUUGAAACUGCAGUUCUUGAGUGAUGGAGAGGCAGGCGGAAUUCCCGGUGUAGCGGUGGAAUGCGCAGAUAUCGGGAAGAACACCGAUGGCGAAGGCAGCUCGCUGGGCCGUCACUGACGCUGAGGCGCGAAAGCUGGGGGAGCGAACAGGAUUAGAUACCCGAGUA